rnacentral:lncRNA from 1 species
AAAACUGGGUUGACGAGGAUGAUCUGUUGGGAUCUCCAAUCAUGGUGGAGGAAAAUCAACUUCAGCUGCUGGGUACUUCCAGCAGUGCUCGCGAUAGAUUCAACAGGCAUAACUCUAGUUCGGAAGCCUCUUCGGAAGCCACAAUACCGGAUCUGCCUCCUCUGCAUGGAGAAAGAACUCCGGCUGCUCUCCGACUAGGUGAUCGUGUCCUCCCAGCAAAGCAACGUCUAGGAGUUCCAAGGAAGAUCAAAC